rnacentral:rRNA from 1 species
CCCAGACAGCCAGGAUGUUGGCUUAGAAGCAGCCAUCAUUUAAAGAAAGCGUAAUAGCUCACUGGUCGAGUCGGCCUGCGCGGAAGAUGUAACGGGGCUAAACUAUGCACCGAAGCUGCGGCAGCGACGCUGUGCGUUGUUGGGUAGGGGAGCGUUCUGUAAGCCUGCGAAGGUGGCCUGUGAGGGUUGCUGGAGGUAUCAGAAGUGCGAAUGCUGACAUAAGUAACGAUAAAGCGGGUGAAAAGCCCGCUCGCCGGAAGACCAA